GACAUAUGCUUUAUUUUUAUGGAGUGUGGGUUUAGUAAUGGGGUUUGUGGGGUUUUCUUCUAAGCCUUCUCCUAUUUAUGGGGGUUUAGUGUUGAUUGUUAGUGGUGUGGUUGGGUGUGUUAUUAUUUUAAAUUAUGGGGGAGGUUAUAUAGGUUUAAUGGUUUUUUAAAAUUUAUUUAGGGGGUAUAAUGGUCGUUUUUGGGUAUACUAUGGCGAUAGCUAUUGAGGAGUACCCUGAGGCAUGGGGGUCAGGGAUUGAGGUCUUGGUAAGUGUAUUAGUGGGGUUAGCGAUGGAGGGGGAAAUAGAAUGAUCAGUACUGCGGCGGGUAGGCCUAGAACUGUAGGGCCAAUGAAUGAAGCGAAUAGAUUUU
rnacentral:lncRNA from 1 species